GCAGAAUUCUUGGUUUGGUGAACUGGUGCCUAUGGGAAGCAGAAGAAGAUCCCAGGAGCACUGCAGGGCUCUGCAGCAAACACUCAUCCUGAUUUACAGUGGAGGUGACUGUCAUCCUCAGAUCUUCCAGAAGUUGCCAAGUUGAAGUUUCCUGCAGUUUAAUUGCCAUGCUGUGUCCUGCCAUCUGAAACCACGAAGCAGCAGACAGAGGAAGGGUGACCCCCUCCAGACAUCCAUCCCUUGUGCUGGAAGAAUGUUUUCUCUGGAAGUCUGUGCCUGGGAGCCUGAGAAGAUGCUGUUCCCUGCUGGGCUGAGGGCUCUGCAGGCUGGGCUGGCAGCAGGAGCAGCCAGCCCAGGCCUGGCCAGCCAUGCCCAGGGGGUUGGCACAGGAACACCGGGGAGAUCUCCACCAGGGUAACUGGGACAGGGUGCUGUGCAGUCACCCGGGCCUGGGCUGUGCAGACACGUUCCCGAGGAGGGGAGGAGCUCUCGUGUCAGCCCCGAAGCACCGAGCUCGACUUACACAGGGUGGGAAAGCUGCUGGGACAGGUUUUGCUGGGAAACAGUUUCAGGCUUCUGAAGGUGUGAUUCAAACCCCAGUUAAAAGGAUAAAACCCA